rnacentral:rRNA from 1 species
UGCCUACGGGGGGCUGCAGUGAGGGAUAUUGCACAAUGGGGGAAACCCUGAUGCAGCGACGCCGCGUGGGUGAUGAAGGUCUUCGGAUCGUAAAGCCCUUUUCUAGGUGACGAGCAAGGACGGUAGCCUAGGAAGAAGUCUCGGCUAACUACGUGCCAGCAGCCGCGGUAAAACGUAGGAGGCAAGCGUUAUCCGGAGUUACUGGGCGUAAAGCGCGUGCAGGUGGGGUGUCAAGUUCGGUGUGAAAGCCGUCGGCUCAACCGGGGGAUGGCACGGAAGACUGGGACACUGGAGGCAGGUAGAGGAGCGUAGAAGUCCGGGUGUAGCGGUGAAAUGUGUAGAGAUCCGGAGGAAUACCAGUGGCGCAAGCGGCGCUCUGGGGCUGACCUGACACUGAGACGCGAAGGCGUGGGGAGCGAACGGGAUUAGAUACCCUGGUAGUC